GAGUUUGAUCAUGGCUCAGAUUGAACGCUGGCGGCAUGCUUUACACAUGCAAGUCGAACGGUAACAGGGAGCUUGCUCCGCUGACGAGUGGCGAACGGGUGAGUAAUGCGUCGGAACGUGCCGAGUAGUGGGGGAUAACGCAUCGAAAGGUGUGCUAAUACCGCAUACGAACUGAGGUUGAAAGUGGGGGACCUUCGGGCCUCACGCUAUUCGAGCGGCCGACGUCUGAUUAGCUAGUAGGUGAGGUAAAGGCUCACCUAGGCGACGAUCAGUAGCGGGUCUGAGAGGAUGAUCCGCCACACUGGGACUGAGACACGGCCCAGACUCCUACGGGAGGCAGCAGUGGGGAAUUUUGGACAAUGGGCGCAAGCCUGAUCCAGCCAUGCCGCGCGUCUGAAGAAGGCCUUCGGGUUGUAAAGGACUUUUGUCUGGGAGCAAAUACCCGGUGUUAAUAGCGCCGG
rnacentral:rRNA from 1 species